UAAAGGACAAAAUUUUAAACGGUUUUUGAACAAAAAAAGAAAUUAAUUGGAGUCUCCAAUUGUAGAGCAGCAUAUUCACUAUUUCCGUUCUUCAAAUAUUGAAUUGGCAAGGAUCGAUCCACAUAAUCAUAAAAUUCAUUUAAACGCAAACUGUCCAGAACGUGCUGAUGUUGACCGGAUACUAAAACGAAAUCUUCUUCACAAAACCAUCAUAAACUGCCUGGUUUCCAAUACAAACAGUCCAAAAAUAUAUUUUUUAAAAAUAACUCCACUAACAAUAAGUAAAAGUCUUUGAUUUAUUUUUUUUCUUUCAGUAUAGCACUAUAUACUUUCGGAAUUGGGUCCGAUCAGCGAACCAUUCGCUGUAGCUUCACUUCACCAACUGCUUUCCACUUAAGUGGUGUGAAUUAUUUUCACAAAAUCAUUUUUACAAUCUUCUAAG